rnacentral:lncRNA from 1 species
GACAAAUUUUUCCAGAUCUCUGUUUGUGGUGAGGUGUAAUUAUGUGUGUUUUUCCUAGCUUAGUGUGUGCGUUCUUUCUUUUUGUUUCUGAGAAUGCUGUGUUGAGGGGGUUUUUGGAGAAAACGGUGGGGUUGGGAGGUUGUAGUACUUCAAACAAAGGUGAACGAUUUUUUAGCAGACUCACCUGGCACUAAGGACUGCUCUGGUGGUCUUCGGAGGCUCCUGGGAUCGACUGCUUGGACAGAGGUGACAUCACCCAAUUAGUGAGAGCCAAGACCUAAGGCUGCAGCUGCCUUCCAGGUAUCUGCCACUCACUGUAGAACGAUCCCACAGUUCUGCAUUUCUGCCCUAUGCCCGCCAGUCACAAGAAGCUCCGGUCUCUUAUCCCAUGUCUGAUUCCUGAAACCUUGCUAAUUUUCCUACCAUCCUCCCUAUUCCCAGCCUCCUUUCUUCUUCUUCUUCUUCUUCUUCUUUUUUUUUUUUUUUUGAGGCUGAGUUUCACUCUUGUUGCCUAGGCUGGAGUGCAAUGGUGCGAUCUCGGCUCACUGCAACCUCCACCUCCUGGGUUCAAGCGAUUCUCCUGCCUCAGCCUCCAGAGUAGCUGGGAUUACAGGCAUGUGCCACCACGCCCGGCUAAAUUUUUUUUGUAUUUUUAGUAGAGAUGGGGUUUCUCCAUGAUGGUCAGGCUGGUCUCAAACUGCCAAACUCAGGUGAUCCACCCGCACUGGCCUCCCAAAGUGCUGGGAUUACAGGUGUGAGCCACUGUGCCCGGCCCCCCUUUCUUCGUUUGCUCUAUCCUCCCGCUGAAGACAUUGCUUUCCUCUUUCUGUUUGCUCUCCCCACCUCUCACUCCAUUGUGCCUUGCACCUGUGCUGCCCACUACCUCUCCUUGUUGCUGUUGUCUCUCCUGGCUGCUGGUCACUCCAUGCCAACACUUACUUUAUUCCUUGAAGGUUUUUAGCUCCUGGAGCACUGACUUUCUCCAGCAUAACUCCUGUCAUCAAUCGACACCCUGGUUCCCCAAUUCCUUGACCUCAGCUUUGACUACCCCAGCCACUCACUUCCCUGGUCUAACCCUAGGUCAUGUCAUUGUCGAUUGCCAUAACCCCAUCCACUUCGAGGGUCACACUCUCCAAUCACCUCUACCAUCCCUCCCUCUGCUACCCUUUGGUACCUGUCACCCCACUCCCCACCCCCUCAACCCGCAUCCCCAAAGUCCUUGGGCCCACCUCCAACUAAUCUAACUGCACCAACUCUAACAAACUGCACCUGUGUCACUGAGUGUAACUGGUGGAAGCUGACUGGGCUCACCUUAACCCUGGGCAAGCUGGGGGAAAAUAGACAUCCCACAUUUGCUACCUGGGGCCCAAUAAGUCUGCAUUAGUCUGUGCUCGUGCUGCUAAUAAAAACAUACCGGAGACUGGGUAAUUUAUAAAGAAAAAGAGGUUUAAUGGACUCACAGUUCCACGUGGCUGGGGAAGCCUCACAAUCAUGGUGGAAGGUGAAAGGCAUGUCUUACAUGGUGGAAGGUGAGAGAGAACUUGUGCAAGGGAACUCCCCUUUAUAAAACCAUCAGAUCUUGUGAGACUUAUUCACUAUCAUGAGAACAAUAUGGAAAAGUCCUGGCCCCAUGAUUCAAUUACCUCCCACUGGGUCCCUCCCAUGACACGUGGGAAUUAUGGGAGCUACAAUUCAAGAUGAGACUUGGGUGGGGACACAGCCAAACCAUAUCAUUUUGCUGUAGCCCCUCCCAAAUCUCAUGUCCUCACAUUUCAAAACCUAUCAUGCCUUCCCAACAGUCUCCCAAAGUCUUAUUUCAGCAUUAACUCAAAAGUCUACAGUCCAAAGUCUCAUCUGAGACAAGGCAAGUCCCUUCCGCCUACCAGCCUGUACAAUCAAAAGCAAGUUAGGGUCGGGCAUGGUGGCUCAUGCCUGUGAUCCCAGCACUUUGGGAGGCCAAGGCAGGCAGAUCAUCUGAGUUCGGGAGUUUGAGACCAGUCUGGCCAACAUAGUGAAACCCCAUCUCUA